UACGGAGGGGGCUAGCGUUGUUCGGAAUUACUGGGCGUAAAGCGCACGUAGGCGGCUUGAUAAGUUAGAGGUGAAAGCCCGGGGCUCAACCCCGGAAUUGCCUUUAAGACUGUCUCGCUUGAAUCCGGGAGAGGUGAGUGGAAUUCCGAGUGUAGAGGUGAAAUUCGUAGAUAUUCGGAAGAACACCAGUGGCGAAGGCGGCUCACUGGACCGGCAUUGACGCUGAGGUGCGAAAGCGUGGGGAGCAAACAGG
rnacentral:rRNA from 1 species